UGGGCCCAGGAGAGCUGGCCCAGUCUCUCCCUGGCCUCAGUCCCUCUGGCUCCCUGGCCUUCUCUGCAUGAGCCUCCCACUUGUAGGCGCUCUGCUUGCACUCAACAAUGAGUUCAGUGAGCCUUUCUGAAGCCAUCUGAGGAGUGGAAUUUCCUACAAGUCCC
rnacentral:lncRNA from 1 species